UUUAGUGGUUUGGUUCUGGCUCAGGAUGAACGCUGGCGGAUUACCAUGCAGUCGACGAGUCCUUUCGGGGGCAAGUGGCGGACGGGUGAGUAACGCGUGAGAAUCUGGCUCUAGGUUCGGGACAACCACUGGAAACGGUGGCUAAUACCGGAUGUGCCGAGAGGUGAAAGGUUAACUGCCUGGAGAUGAGCUCGCGUCUGAUUAGCUAGUUGGUGGUGUAAGGGACUACCAAGGCGACGAUCAGUAGCUGGUCUGAGAGGAUGAUCAGCCACACUGGAACUGAGACACGGUCCAGACUCCUACGGGAGGCAGCAGUGGGGAAUUUUCCGCAAUGGGCGAAAGCCUGACGGAGCAAUACCGCGUGAGGGAGGAAGGCUCUUGGGUUGUAAACCUCUUUUCUCAGGGAAUAAGCAAGUGAAGGUACCUGAGGAAUCAGCAUCGGCUAACUCCGUGCCAGCAGCCGCGGUAAUACGGAGGAUGCAAGCGUUAUCCGGAAUGAUUGGGCGUAAAGCGUCCGUAGGUAGCAGUGUGUGUCUAUUGUUAAAGAGUUUGGCUUAACCAAAUAAAGGCGGUAGAAACUACACAGCUAGAGUGCGUUCGGGGCAGAGGGAAUUCCUGGUGUAGCGGUGAAAUGCGUAGAGAUCAGGAAGAACACCGGUGGCGAAAGCGCUCUGCUAGGCCGCAACUGACACUGAGGGACGAAAGCUAGGGGAGCGAAUGGGAUUAGAUACCCCAGUAGUCCUAGCCGUAAACGAUGGAUACUAGGCGUUGAGAGUAUCGACCCUCUCAGUGCCGUAGCUAACGCGUUAAGUAUCCCGCCUGGGGAGUACGCACGCAAGUGUGAAACUCAAAGGAAUUGACGGGGGCCCGCACAAGCGGUGGAGUAUGUGGUUUAAUUCGAUGCAACGCGAAGAACCUUACCAGGGCUUGACAUGUCUGGAAUCUUGGGGAAACUCAAGAGUGCCUUCGGGAGCCAGAACACAGGUGGUGCAUGGCUGUCGUCAGCUCGUGUCGUGAGAUGUUGGGUUAAGUCCCGCAACGAGCGCAACCCUCGUACUUAGUUGCCAGCACUUCGGGUGGGCACUCUAAGGAGACUGCCGGUGACAAACCGGAGGAAGGUGGGGAUGACGUCAAGUCAGCAUGCCCCUUACGUCCUGGGCUACACACGUACUACAAUGCUACGGACAAAGGGCAGCGAGACUGCGAAGUUAAGCAAAUCUCAGAAACCGUAGCUCAGUUCAGAUCGCAGGCUGCAACUCGCCUGCGUGAAGGAGGAAUCGCUAGUAAUUGCAGGUCAGCAUACUGCAGUGAAUUCGUUCCCGGGCCUUGUACACACCGCCCGUCACACCAUGGAAGCUGGUCACGCCCGAAGUCGUUACCCUAACCAUUAUUUGGAGGGGGACGCCGAAGGUAGGACUGGUGACUGGGGUGAAGUCGUAACAAGGUAGCCGUACCGGAAGGUGUGGCUGGAUCACCUCCUUUUCAGGGAGACCUGCCCACUCAAGUUACCGAGAACAAUGUAAAAGUUGGCAAGAGGUAAUGAGUUGGUCAUCCCAGGUCGGUCGUAGGAUAGUAAUAAAGCUUUCAAACUAUAGAAAGGUUCGUGAAAUGGGCUAUUAGCUCAGUGGUUAGAGCGCACCCCUGAUAAGGGUGAGGUCCCUGGUUCGAGUCCAGGAUGGCCCACCUGAAAACAGUAAACAGUAAACAGUGGUCAGUAAAGAAAAAAACUGAUAGCUGGUAACUGAAAACUGAAUUAUGGGGGUUAGCUCAGUUGGUAAAGCGCCUGCUUUGCAAGCAGGAUGUCAGGAGUCGAGUCCUCCUAACCUCCCACCUUUAGAACGAAAACAAAUGAACAAAGUCUAGCCACCUGAAAGCAAAAAUCAGACUGCUGGUAUUGUUCCAGCCAGAUCCUUGAAACUGCAUUAAAGAAGCGAACGUAUGGGUAGUCAGUAGUCAGUGAACAGUACCAGAAUCAAGAUUGGAUAGCUGUAACGAAUACCUGAAGACUGGAACGAACCGAGUGUUAGCAUGGUCCAAGCUAUAGGCUUGGCGGAGAUACUAGACAACACGCUGACAGAAGUGU
rnacentral:rRNA from 1 species